UGUCCAGAGUAUGGGCCCAGCAGGUACAUUCAGGGCAGUGCGCUAUGGCCUAGGGAUGGUGGGAAAAAAAUCUUUAAAAAUCUUUUUUUCAAAAAUAUCAAAACCAUGAUUAGUCCUAUUCAUAUGGAAGUAUUCUCAGGUAGUGUAGAUUCAAUUUUGGCUAAAUAAUGACCCCUGGGGGUAGGGCAGGGCCACAAUAUAAGUUCAAAUGUAAAGGGCAAUAAAACCACAGGUAGUCAAAGAAAUAUGCAAGUAUCCUUAGUUAGUGUAGAUUCAAGUUUGUUCAGAUAAUGGUCCUAGCUCUCCUUUUUAAGGAUUGUUUGGGACCACUAUUGCGCAAGUGAGUUAAGACUAAAUAUGAAUAUUCUAUGCAAAUGAGCUAAUAAAAAUGCAUAAGUUGUAUAUUUUAUGUACAGAGAAAGUUCAAAUUGAUUUUCUUAUACAUACUUGGUACCCAGGGCUUAUUUAUGCAAGUGCACAUUAUGACGUCAUAUUAUGAUGUCAUUGUUCUCUCUCAUUCAAGGCAUUUAUUAUAAAUCACAUCAACAAAAUCACAUCGGCGCAAGAGCAUAUCCAAUCUAAUUUAAAAUAAAUAAUGUAUUAUAUUAAGGAGAAUAUUAUUAAAAUUAAUAAAAUUGCUGCACAAAUCCUAGGCACUUUCUCAAUCGAUAAAAAUUUUAGGAAACUUACACUGGACUGUGAAUUUUUUCUCUGUUUAAACUUAAAACUGCACGAAUAGUAACUAAACAAUUGCAGUGCCGACAUUUGUGCAGCUAUAUCCUAAACCCUUGGAAUAUCCUGCGUCUUUUUAUACCUUGCUUCUGUAAAACAAAAUAAGGUAUGCCCUUGCGCCGAAGCGAUUUCGUUGAUGUUUCUUAUAAACUUGUGUAGUAGAGGUUGAUGACGUCAUAAUGUGUACUGUCUAUUGCAUGUCGUGGGUACUAAGAAUGUAAAAGAAAACAAGUCUUAACAUUUUCUGUGCAGUAGGUAGAGCAAUUAUGGAAUUUAAUUAGAUAUUUUGCAUAGAAACCUCCAUAUUUAGCCUUAACUCACAUGCGUGGGUUUCAACUUUUCAAUCAUAAACUAAUUUAUGCUUUUUUCCUAACCACAUUGCUCAGGUGAGCGAUGUGGCCCAUGGGCCUUUGUUGUUUAAACAGGCAAAUUAUGACAUAGAGCUGCUGUCUCUACAAGAGACCAUACAACAGAAGGUCGUGACCCUGCUGAGUGACCCGGACAACAGAAGGUCAUGACCCUGCUGAGUGACCCGGACAACAGAAGGUCGUGACCCUGCUGAGUGACCCAGACAACAGAAGGUCGUGACCCUGCUGAGUGACCCGGACAACAGUGUUAAACAGACCCUACUGGAGAACGGAAUCACAAAGCUGUGUGUCUGCUUUGACAGGCAAAAAGCCAGUGAUGUGCUACUGUCUCACAUGAUUACUUUCCUCAGUGACAAGACUGACUGGCAUCUCCGUGGCUCCUUCUUUGACAACAUUGUGGGUGUGGCCGC